rnacentral:rRNA from 1 species
GACGUAGGGGGCAAGCGUUGUCCGGAAUUACUGGGCGUAAAGGGCGUGUAGGCGGUACGAUACGUAGCGGUUUUAAGCCUCCGGCUCACCCGGAGGAGGGCGGCUAAACGGUCGCACUGGAGGGCAGGAGAGGUGCAUGGAAUUCCUAGUGGAGCGGUGAAAUGCGUAGAGAUUAGGAAGAACACCAGUGGCGAAGGCGAUGCACUGGCCUGACCCUGACGCUGAGGCGCGACAGCGUGGGGAGCGAACGGG